rnacentral:misc_RNA from 1 species
AGUUGAGUUGAGUUGAGUUUAUAAUUUUCUUCUUGAGAUGGCAAAGUGAUUAGGACUUCAUGGACAUAGUGAUUGCUAUGCCUGGGUCUUGGGGAGGUUCCUUUCCAUUAAAUUUAUUAGUUUUAUUGAUGUUUGUUCUAGUUUUAAUCUUGCUUUGGUGCAACAAUUUAAUUUGUUUUCUACCCUUUGAAAGUCAUAUGAUCCAAAGGAAGUUUCUGAAGUACAAAUUUAGCCUUUUGUGUGGAAUUUCCAAAUCUGUCAAGCUAUUUCUCCCCAGUAGGGAGCUUCAUAGACCAAUAUAUAAUAAGUGUUAUUAGAUUUCUAAAUUUGUAAUAACCUAGGUUUUGAGUCACUGAAACACCUUGUGAUUUGUUAUUAAUGGUUAUUUUUGCUUCCUUCAUCAUUAUUUCCAUAUUUUAUGCUUAUCAUUGUAGUUUUCGAUAGCUCAUUGUGUUCUUUGAAAUCAGUCUGGAUCUGAUGAGAGGAGUAUACCUGGGAACACUGUUGCUGUUCAUGCAGACAUGCCGUUUAGUGGCCUGACAACAUUUGGAGGGGCAUUCUUAUCAAAAUUUGAAUGUGCACAAAUGCCACAUCCAUUGCUAGAUGAAAUCACAAUUGUUGACACCCCUGGAGUUCUGUCUGGAGAAAAACAACGAACACAAAGGAGUUAUGAUUUUACUGGUGUUAUAUCAUGGUUUGCAGCAAAAUGUGAUCUCAUUCUUCUUUUGUUUGAUCCUCAUAAGCUUGAUAUAAGUGAUGAGUUCAAGAGAGUAAUUGCAUCUUUGCGUGUUAAUGAUGACAAGAUCCGUGUUGUUUUAAACAAGGCAGACCAAGUUGAUACACAACAAUUGAUGAGAGUUUAUGGGGCACUAAUGUGGUCACUUGGAAAAGUUUUAAAUACUCCAGAAGUUGUGCGUGUUUAUAUUGGUUCAUUCAAUGACAAGCCUAUUAAUGAAGAAACUGUCAACCCAAUGUUCCGUGAACUUUUUGAAAAAGAACAGGAUGAUCUUCUCAUGGACUUGGUUGAUAUUCCUAAGAAGGCCUGUGAUCGCCGUAUAAAUGAGUUUGUCAAGCGUGCUAGAGCAGCUAAGAUCCAUGCCUACAUGAUUAGCCAUCUUAAGAAAGAGAUGCCUGCCAUUAUGGGGAAGGCUAAGACUCAACAACGCCUUAUUGAUAAUCUUGAAGACGAAUUUGCAAAGGUCCAGAGGGAGUUUCAUUUACCAGUCGGAGAUUUCCCCAAUGUGGAUCAUUUCAAGGAAGUGUUGAAUGGUUAUAGCAUUGACAAAUUUGAAAAACUGAAACCUAAGAUGAUACAAGCUGUUGAUGACAUGCUUGGCUAUGAAAUCCCUGACCUCCUGAAAAAUUUUAGGAAUCCAUAUGCGUAAAUGAUUAUGGUUGCAAGUGAGAAAGGACAGUGAAACAUUCUAUGGUUAUUGUUCCUGCUAUAUGGUGUUUGUUUUGAGAGUCAUGGGAACUUUGGAGCAAGAUAUUCGAGAUUUGAGUGGAAUGAUAAUUUCAAUUCCUUGGUAAUUAAUUUUGGUUGUGUUAUUUUAUUUAUAUUUUAG